rnacentral:miRNA from 1 species
UUUGAUAUUCUGUUUCAUUAUUUCAAAUCAACAUAUAAAUUAUUUUUAUGAUUAUCCGUCAAUUUGAAUUAAUGAAACAAAAUAUCAAA